CACACCUGUGAUUAACCUCUCACCUUUUCGGUUGCGGUUUUGGCCGCUUCCGCUUUUACAUGCAACCACGAAAAGUCUAGAAUGUGACGAGAACUAUAAAGUAACAACUUUCAACAACGGAUCUCUUGGCUCUCGCAUCGAUGAAGAACGCAGCGAAAUGCGAUAAGUAAUGUGAAUUGCAGAAUUCAGUGAAUCAUCGAAUCUUUGAACGCACGGUGGACUUGGACCGCUUGCGCUCCUUGGUAUUCCAUGGAGCAUGCCUGUUUGAGUGUCACGUAAACCCAUCAAUAUCACCCCUGCGAUGUAAGUCGCCUGCUGCCGGUAAUCGGCUCGUCUUGAAAUGCAUUAGCUGGCCUUUUAGAGUGCUGGGCGAACGGUGUGAUAAUUAUCUGCGCCGACUGCCCUGGGCCUCUUCAGCGGCGCUGCUUACAGAGCGGAGGAACCGUCCCUUGUGGACAACUAUUUUAAAGCUUUGGCCUCAAAUCAGGUAGGACUACCCGCUGAACUUAAGCAU
rnacentral:rRNA from 1 species